UUGGAGGUGAUGCAUAUUAUCCUCUGAAUGCCUGUGAAGGUUUUUGUAUUCAUACUGUCUGAUCCAG